UUUCUUGUUUUCCCAGAUCUAGUUGAGGUAAAAUAGAGUUUUCUGAAAGAAUGGAAUAUGCAGAGGUCUCAGAAACUAAAAAUCUUAUUUUUCAAAUUUUCAAAGGAAGGAAUGGAAAUUGAGUUAACAAUUUUGACAUAAAAUUGAAGAAACAUCCCAGAACUAAAGAUGAAAGAGCGGUGAUAAGAAAUACUAGAGAAUGAAAAGUGACAUGGGACAUGGAAACCAGGUGGUUCAGUCUUUUGAGAAGACAGAAGCAACAAAGAAAAUAAAUACUAUGACACCACAAUCCCUAGUUACCAAGAAAUAUUGCAUGAAUACUAAAAUUGCUUGGGCAGAUGGAAAAGAGGCCCUUUGUCGGAUCUUGUCUUCCAGUCAAUUUUGAAUCAAGAAAGACCCAUUGAUGACUCCUUUGAGAAGAGUCUGUUUUGAGGAAGGAGAAGGAAAUACAUUUGAGAGAAGGCAUACAGACCAAAAGGGUGAUAGAAACAUGCGUCAUGUGCUCAGAGCACUGAGAACUUCCCAGAGUGAACACUGAGAACUGAGUAGGGACUGAUUAAAGAAUGACUGCAUUUUGUGAGUUUUGAAGGAAAAAUGCUGGUCUUCUAAUGUGGACAGUCAGACCUAGAACCAUGUGUCGAUAUCAGCUCUGCACAUCAGUGCCUUCUUUGUGCUCUGUGAAGGGUGGCAUGCUUGCUUUCUUCUCAGCAGUACUUCUAAGACAAAUGAAAAUGAUAGUGUCUGCCAAAACCUGGGAAAUACAGUCUGUAUGUUUAUUACUAGAGCUUUGCAAUGUAUUCCUCUUGGCAUUUAAAAAUUUUAUAGUACUCAACACCAAUUAUGACCUUUUGUCAAUAAAUAUUAAUUUCUCAAAAU